rnacentral:rRNA from 1 species
UACGAAGGGGGCUAGCGUUGUUCGGAUUUACUGGGCGUAAAGCGCACGUAGGCGGAUUGUUAAGUCAGGGGUGAAAUCCUGGAGCUCAACUCCAGAACUGCCUUUGAUACUGGCAAUCUAGAGUCCGGAAGAGGUGAGUGGAACUCCUAGUGUAGAGGUGGAAUUCGUAGAUAUUAGGAAGAACACCAGUGGCGAAGGCGGCUCACUGGUCCGGUACUGACGCUGAGGUGCGAAAGCGUGGGGAGCGAACGAG